CGGACGGGUGAGUAAUGCUUGGGAAUCUAGCUUAUGAGGGGGAUAACUACGGGAAACUGUAGCUAAUACCGCGUAAUAUCGAAAGAUUAAAGUGUGGGACCUUCGGGCCACAUGCCAUAGGAUGAGCCCAAGUGGGAUUAGGUAGUUGGUGAAGUAAAGGCUCACCAAGCCGACGAUCUCUAGCUGGUCUGAGAGGAUGACCAGCCACACUGGGACUGAGACACGGCCCAG
rnacentral:rRNA from 1 species